rnacentral:misc_RNA from 1 species
GUGAAUCAUCAAAUUUUUGAACGCAUAUUGCACUCUCUGGUAUUCCGGAGAGUAUGCCUGUUUGAGGGUCAGUUAAAUAAAAAUCGGGGUUUUGGCCACCUUUGGUGGUGACGCUUCUGAAUUUGGUCGUCUUUACCUUUCGUUUAAGUGACGUAAAAUGUUUUAAGGGUGUCGUAACUUAUGUAAAUUUAUUUGGUACGGCUGGUAAUAUCGAAUGUUUAUUAGAAUUGGUCAUCCUCAUGACUCACGGCUAGAAUUUUUCAUCUAAUGACCUCAAAUCAGGUAAGACUACCCGCUUAA